AGCGCAGGCGGCCAAGUCAGUCUGAAGUGAAAGCCCGGGGCUUAACCCCGGAAUAGCUUUGGAUACUGCCUGGCUUGAGUGUGCGAUAGGAAAGCGGAAUUCCAGGUGUAGCGGUGAAAUGCGUAGAUAUCUGGAGGAACACCGGUGGCGAAAGCGGCUUCUGGCGCAUAACUGACGCUGAGGCUCGAAAGCGUGGGGAGCGAACG
rnacentral:rRNA from 1 species